CCAGAGCUCCCUCUGCCCGGCAAGUCCCCAGCUCCUCUCCGUCCCUCUGUCGGUCCUCGGCGCUUUUUGCCCACCCUGGACUGCCCCUGUUCCCCUGCGCGCACGCAUUUAUGCUUUUUGUGAAAUUCUUAUAUUCCAGGCACCGGGUGAAGGGGGUGCUUAAGAGCCCGACUCGCGCAAAGCUGGGCAGAGCCAAGUGCUGCUGAGGCCUCCCGGGCUCCGGUGGUAGCCGCCACCCCCAGCCCCCUACCUUCCUCCUGCUACUUUUCCCCGAGACUUGACUUUGGACACCCCUGUCUCCUCCACCGAAGCUUGAGGACCCCCUCCCUUACCAUUCCCACCAUUCCACCGCCACCUCCAGGUCGGCACUAGUGCUGAGAGCUCCAGGCCCCCGAAAGUUUUAGUUCCCGUCCCCCUCUUCCUUUUGUGUGCCUGGCUGCCAGGACAAAGGGAACGUACUGUGGCUGUGUGUGCCCGGGUCGGGCUCCGGCGCGAGCUGCCCGAGCAAGGGACGCUUGGGGCUUAAUGGCAUUUGGAUACCUGAGAUUUCCGGCUAGCUCCUUAAUGAAAGAUAGAUAUUUUUUUAAUCACGAUGACUUUUUUUUUUUUUGGCCCUGCAGUUACGUAGAGCCGGCUAAACUUUGACACUGUUGACAAUUUUUCACUGAAGUGUUGUGUUUGUUUCUGAUUAAACCCACCAGGAUAAGCAAAGGAAGGAAAAGAGACUACAAGGCGCUUGGCUCUCAAACGCAUUCAUCGUUGGGUGUUUUUUUUUUUUCUUCUGGGUCUGUUUCCUUCAUUUCCUUAGAUUGAAAUUGCUUUUGCUCUUGUCCACUGAGCACGUUUCUGUUAGCAGUGUCAGCAAACAGUCAAGCCCAACAAACCAGGGACCCAAACUGAAGAGCACAGAAUAAGAUAUGGCAAAUAACCCUUGAAAAACAAAAUGCAAAGCAAAGUUUCUUUAUGCAUGUGGGAAAUAAGUCAAACCUUGAUUUUUUUUUGUUUCAAAAUGACUGAGUUUUUAAAUAAAAUCGUAAAGUGAAUAAUAGUUUCAAGAUGUAUUUGGUAAUAAUUUACCUGGAUCCAAGUGAUGAAAUGUGGCCAUGUAUUUUGGAAUUUAUUUUGAAGAAAAACUGACUGCCCUAAAGCUUAACAGUAUUUAGGAAGUAUGCUUCAUGUUGGUUGUUUUGUUUUCAAAAAUUAUAUAUAUGUAUAUAUACACACAUAUAUGUUAUUAAAACUCUUUAUCCCUGUAGGCACAGCCAGUCUUCACGCUUGAGAAAUCAUUUCAAACUACAGUGUGUUUAGCAGUUAUUUUCAAGUUUAACUCAUAGGGUGUAUACCAGACACCAAAAUUAUAAAUAUCUACAGUGCUUUGCGGAUAGUAGGUGCUUCACAGAUGUUUGGUAUUGGGGGAAAAAUAAGAGCCAUCAAUAAAAUGAAAGGUGUACUAAUGUCUGCAGCUGUUAGCAAGUUAAGAAGAUUUUAAAUCUGCAGCAUGCAUUCACUACUCUCCAAUCAAUUUUAAUGACUUGAUCUAUAUUAUUAUUUAAGUAAUGGUAAAGUCAUUGACUUAUUCAUAAUACUUGCUAAUUGUUUUUAAAAAUAAAUUCUACAUAUGACUAAGGAAA